GCUGGCUGUCCUGUGGCAAUCAAUGCAUAGCUACAGCUGGUUGAAGGGGACCAAAUCCAUUGAAGAGGCGAUUUGGUUCCAUUUUACCAGCUUUAGCAAAGCAUUGCCGCUGCUGGUU
ensembl:miRNA Mir3582 microRNA 3582